rnacentral:snRNA from 1 species
GUCCUCGCUUUGGCAGCACAUAUACUAAAAUUGGAUACAGAGAAGAUUAGCAUGGCCCCUACGCAAGGAUGACACGCAAAUUUGUGAAGUGUUCCAUAAAAAA